AAAGCCUGCAAGGGGAGCCAUAUGGCUGAGAGUGGACGUAUAAUGUUCUGACCCUUUGAACCUGUUAGUUAGUACUAGCGUAGGGAUUGUAGUCUUUUUGAUGG
rnacentral:ncRNA from 2 species